rnacentral:rRNA from 1 species
GACGAACGCUGGCGGCGUGCUUAACACAUGCAAGUCGAACGGAAAGGCCCUGCUUGCAGGGUACUCGAGUGGCGAACGGGUGUGUAACACGUGGGUGAUCUGCCCUCCUCUUCGGGAUAAGCCUGGGAAACUGGGUCUAAUACCGGAUAUGUGCCAUUUUUAGUGUGAUGGUUGGAAAGUUUUUUCGGUGUAGGAUGAGCUCGCGGCCUAUCAGCUUGUUGGUGGGGUAAUGGCCUACCAAGGCGGCGACGGGUAGCCGGCCUGAGAGGGUGGACGGCCACAUUGAGACUGAGAUACGGCCCAGACUCCUACGGGAGGCAGAAGUGGGGAAUAGUGCACAAUGGGCGCAAGCCUGAUGCAGCGACGCCGCGGGGGGGAUGACGGACUUCGGGUUGUAAACUCCUUUCGCUAGGGACGAAGCUUUUUGUGACGGUACCUAAAUAAGAAGCACCGGCUAACUACGUG